UAAGGAAUAUUGCUCAAUGGGAGAAAUCCUGAAGCAGCAACGCCGCGUGGAGGAUGAAGGGUCUAUGACUUGUAAACUCCUGUAAAGAAGGAAAAAAUUCCCAUUAGAUGGGAGAUGAUGGUACUUCUGGAGUAAGCCCCGGCUAACUACGUGCCAGCAGCCGCGGUAAUACGUAGGGGGCAAGCGUUGUCCGGAUUUACUGGGUGUAAAGGGUGCUCAGGCGGAUUUGUAAGUCAGAGGUGAAAUCUUACAGCUUAACUGUGAAACUGCCUUUGAUACUGCAAGCCUAGAGUAUGGAAGAGAGUGAUGGAAUAUCUGGUGUAGCAGUGAAAUGCGUAGAUAUCAGAUAGAACACCAAUGGCGAAGGCAGUCACUUGGUCCAUUACUGACGCUAAAGCACGAAAGCGUGGGUAGCAAACA
rnacentral:rRNA from 2 species